ACGGGUGAGUAACGCGUGGGAAUCUACCUAGUUCUACGGAACAACAGAGGGAAACUUCUGCUAAUACCGUAUACGCCCUAAGGGGGAAAGAUUUAUCGGAACUAGAUGAGCCCGCGUAAGAUUAGCUAGUUGGUGGGGUAAUGGCCUACCAAGGCGACGAUCUUUAGCUGGUCUGAGAGGAUGAUCAGCCACACUGGGACUGAGACACGGCCCAGACUCCUACGGGAGGCAGCAGUGGGGAAUAUUGGACAAUGGGCGCAAGCCUGAUCCAGCCAUGCCGCGUGAGUGAUGAAGGCCUUAGGGUUGUAAAGCUCUUUCAGUGGGGAAGAUAAUGACGGUACCCACAGAAGAAGCCCCGGCUAACUUCGUGCCAGCAGCCGCGGUAAUACGAAGGGGGCUAGCGUUGUUCGGAUUUACUGGGCGUAAAGCGCACGUAGGCGGAUUGGUCAGUUAGGGGUGAAAUCCUGGAGCUCAACUCCAGAACUGCCUUUAAUACUGCCAGUCUCGAGUCCGGAAGAGGUAAGUGGAACUCCUAGUGUAGAGGUGGAAUUCGUAGA
rnacentral:rRNA from 1 species